CGGAUCCUUCGGGAUUAGUGGCGGACGGGUGAGUAACACGUGGGAACGUGCCCUUUGGUUCGGAACAACUCAGGGAAACUUGAGCUAAUACCGGAUGUGCCCUUCGGGGAAAGAUUUAUCGCCAUUGGAGCGGCCCGCGUCUGAUUAGCUAGUUGGUGGGGUAAAGGCCCACCAAGGCGACGAUCAGUAGCUGGUCUGAGAGGAUGAUCAGCCACAUUGGGACUGAGACACGGCCCAA
rnacentral:rRNA from 1 species